rnacentral:rRNA from 1 species
UACGGAGGGUGCAAGCGUUAAUCGGAAUUACUGGGCGUAAAGCGUGCGUAGGCGGUUCGUUAAGUCUGUUGUGAAAGCCCCGGGCUCAACCUGGGAAUGGCAAUGGAUACUGGCGAGCUAGAGUGUGUCAGAGGAUGGUGGAAUUCCCGGUGUAGCGGUGAAAUGCGUAGAGAUCGGGAGGAACAUCAGUGGCGAAGGCGGCCAUCUGGGACAACACUGACGCUGAAGCACGAAAGCGUGGGGAGCAAACAGG